AUGAACGCUAGCUACAGGCUUAACACAUGCAAGUCGAGGGGCAGCGGGGAGUGGCAACACUCUGCCGGCGACCGGCGCACGGGUGAGUAACACGUAUCCAACCUGCCUUGAGCUUGGGGAUAGCCCUCUGAAAGGAGGAUUAAUACCCGAUGUGGUUAUUCGCAGACAUCUGCUUAUAACUAAAGAUUCAUCGGCUCAUGAUGGGGAUGCGUAUGAUUAGCUUGCUGGCGGGGUAACGGCCCACCAAGGCGACGAUCAUUAGGGGUUCUGAGAGGAAGGUCCCCCACAUAGGAACUGAGACACGGUCCUAACUCCUACGGGAGGCAGCAGUGAGGAAUAUUGGUCAAUGGUCGAGAGACUGAACCAGCCAAGUAGCGUGAAGGAUGACUGCCCUACGGGUUGUAAACUUCUUUUAUGCGGGAAUAAAGUGCGGCACGUGUGCCGUUUUGUAUGUACCGCAUGAAUAAGCAUCGGCUAAUUCCGUGCCAGCAGCUGC
rnacentral:rRNA from 1 species